UACAGAUUAAACUGAUCACAUGAUUAGUUUGAGCUUUUAAUCAGAUGAUGUGAGAAGGGAAGGUCAAAUCAAACACAGCACAGGCCGAUACAGACAGUACAGUGACAAUUAGUACAGACAAGUAACUAGCAAAAUAAAACAGGAAGUAAGAAACCAUAGCUAAACAGGGAACCACAGACACAUGAAUGGACUUUAUGAACAGGGUCAGGAGAAAUCUGCACGUGAAACAUGAGGAGUCCAGCAGCCAGAGGGAUGAGUGGAUAGCGGGGAUAAAAACAUAAAGUCUUCUUCCUGUGUUUGUAAUGACAGUGAACCCUGGAUUGAUUAUGAGCACGAUGAUGGCAGCGAUCACAACGCCGGCACAAGUGGAAGCAACAGAAAGGAGCUGCUGCCGCACGAAUGCAGAUGCCAUGCACAAAGCCCAAGGCCAGGAUGCUGGUAGAAUGCAGGCAACUGAUUGAUGGGAGCGAGGCGGCCUCUCUCGGGGACCAAUGUUUACCUGAAAGCCACUGCACCAUUUGAGUAAUUUCCUACUAUUGAUGGGAUACAAGACGUGUUCAGGAUUGCAGUACCUUCAUGUUUCACCAGGAGCAGCAGACCCAUUUUAGAAGGCCCUUUUUACAUAAUUAACAUAGAAUUCACAAUCACUAAAAUAAAUAUAUAAA